ACUACAUGAUGCCCCUAAUUCUUCAGAUUACUCCUAUCUUCACUUGGAAUACUUUAAGAAGUUCACUGUUGUGUUGACAGAAAGAUGCCCAUUCAAAAGCACUCAUGUUUUCCUGUCAUUUCCUUGUCAUUCCUAGCUAGGAUUCUUUUUUUGGCUGAAUCCGUCCGUUUCUUUAGAUGAAGAAUUGUCUUUUUAUAUUCUUUAUGGGGGAACCCUCAUUAUACUCACUGCCAUGUGUGGCUUUUUUUAUAUGGGUACCACUAGCCUACGAUUUCUGGGGAGAUUCAAUCACCAAUGGGUGUUGCCUCUGUUGAAUUCAUUGAUCCAAGGGAACCUGUGGUGGUAAGUUUUCAUGUUAGCGACUUUUCCACAGAAAAUAUGACAUUGACAUGUUUAUUUGUCUCUUGUGAAAAAUAGUGCUUGUGGUUUUCUCGUAAGGGGGUAGAUUUUGAGUUGGUCAGUUCAAUCCAUUCUUGGGUGCCUCACGUUGCCCAUACAUUCUUCACCCAUAUUUGCCCAAUAUUGAUGAAAAUACCAGAGGACAGGACCUUGUUUUCUCCAUUCCAUUACUAUGGGCAACAGCAUCUGACAUUGGGGUAUUUAUUCUCUUUUGCAGGUUAUUCCAAUCUUAAGAGCUGGUCUUGCUCUUGUUGAAUAUGCAUCAUCAAUCUUGCCGGCGACAAAAACAUAUCAUCUAGGUUUUCACACAUCCCUAUUUGCAUUCUAAGGGCAUUAAGAGGAGAGGAUUUAGGUGCACCAGGUGGAGAGCCUCCAAUGCAUUCUCAGCCCUUUUUGCUGGCCACACACAGGACCUGCAUGAUCUAAGGGCAAGGAAUGCAUUGGGCGCACUCCACCUGGUGUUUUCUUCCUUUAUAUAGUGAUCAUUUGCACCUGUUGCUUAAUAAUUCUCCAAACCAAGUGACAAGCCAAUUCUUGGUUAUUUAAUGACUCAACUGUCUUGGGAGUGUUGGUGUCCUCCUACCCGUUACUUAUUUAAACUCUCAAUUGUCUUUUCAUUUAUCUUUUCAUUUUGAGUUGAUCAUCUGUCUGUUUCCCAUGAAAUGGGUUCAGUGUUGGUUUCUUACAAUAAGGAUCAUGACUUUUAUUUUCUGUAAAUGAAGGCAUCAGCAGAGAUGAGGAAACACUUCAGCCAACUGUAUAUUUGAACAAGUAAGAAUCCACUCAAUGAUAUUUGUACCAUGUUUGAUCAUUUAAAUUAGGAGGGAAAGGAGGGGAAAACAAGAGAAAGUCAAGGGUGUAUUCGCACUAUAUUUGCAGUAUGUUUGGAUGUGUAUUGCUGAAAAUGUAGGGAAAUGAGCUUAGUUAGUGGACUACAAUAUGCUUGUCGUAUUCGUGUUCGAGAAUGAAGUGGAGGGCACACGUGCAUGAGAGGUUAAGGUCCCUUCAUUUCCUUCCAACUCUAUGAGGAGAUGAAAAGUGGGGCCGAAGGGAAACACUUCUUCCCACUUCUAUUCUUUUCAGUCUCAUUUUAUCUGGGCCAAACAAAAGAAAAGUUUUCCUUGGGAAGCAUUUCCAUCUGCCACUUUCCAAUUUCCUAUGAACAGACAGGGUUGCAGUUCUUCUGUGUAUCUCCUCUUUGUUGGUAUUUGGACUUGUAAUCAUACCUUGUGCAUUGAAAAAUCUGAAAUUCACAGGUUUUGGUUGACAAUCUCUCUACUCUCAAAUUAGAAUACCAUAGUGCUUAUCAGUUGGUUCCGUUAUCUUCAACAUCUUUCUGAUUCUUCCCCAUUUUUUACUGUGUCCCAGGUUGCCUGAUAAAUUACCUGAUGUUUCUCGAGUAUUUGUGGUAGAUCCGAUGCUGGCAACAGGUAUCCUAUCCUAUCUGUUCAAAGUGUCUUCUCUUGUUUUAGUAAUGUUGGUGAUCUUUAGGUCAUUCGAUGAUGUAAUUGGCAUUAUCAAAGGGACCAAUUCACAUGUAUCUCUAUCAAAUCUGGUGUUUAUGGAUAUUUUAUUAGAGAAAAAAUUGUGUUUGGUCUGAUGUAACUCACCUUUCCUUUGCAGGGGGCACAAUAGUGGCAGCGCUUAAUCUCUUGAAGGAACGUGGGGUUAACAGCAAGCAAAUCAAAGUGGUAAGUAUAUGUAGUCCCCGUUCUGGGGUUAGAUUCUCUGAGCCUUUAGUCAUAUCUCAAGUUGUUCAUUUAUGGACUGGUCAUGGAAUUAGAUGUAUGCAUUGUGAUCAAAGCAUAUCAGAUCAUGCUGUUCAUUUUUAGCUUUAGUUGGUGAUGUAUGAUAAACAGAUUUUUUAAGGGCUCUCUUUAUAACGGGUUUUCUAAUUGAAGCUUAAUUUUUUCUCCAUCUGACUUUUCAAAUUGUAAGAUCACUGAUUUACUUGGAUGCACCUUAGGAGUUCUUUUGUCGAUUUUUUUAAGAGUACAAUGUGCUUGGAUGUACAAGUUUCUAGGUAGUGAUUGGCAAAUAAUUUGUUAGCCAAAUGCGUGGAAAGAGCAGGCGCAUUUUAUGUGCUUGGACAGAUGAUUCUUAGCGAGAGCAGGAAAAUCUGAAUAAAUAGUUCCCUUGUUGAUUUGUGUUUUCCAAAGGUGGGUACAGAAUCAUUGUGGUGAUUUAGCUGUUUUGUGUCAUUCAUUUAAUAAAAGGAGGAUUGGUUUAUUUCUGUCUGAGCUCUUUGUUAUCUUCAUGGUAUAAAAACAAUAUAUUGUGACUUGGAAGUAUGAAGAGCACAAAACUGCAUAUUUCAGUCAGGAUAGUGAUACAUCUAUGGAUCUUUCAACUUUACAUAUUGUUAGAGAUGACGUCAUUGUGCUUUUAACAUCGCCACUUAAAAAUAAUUAGGAGAUUAUGUCCUUGCAGAUAUCAGCCGUUGCUGCUCCUCCAGCUCUACAAAAGCUCAGCGAAAACUUUCCUGGGUAAAGAUGUCAUAUUUUUGGUAUCCAUAGUGGAAGUCUGUCUGUCUUACCUGUCUGUCUUACAGGCUUUUGUAAAAGACAAGAUUGACCAAUGGUGUCUGGCUUUUACAGGCUUCAUGUUUACACUGGAAUCAUUGAUCCGAAAGUAAAUGACAAGGGGUAAGAAUCAGCUCUUUUUUUGACGUUUACACAAUUUGGUACCGUAGUCCAAUACAACAAUUUCUUUUCCUAUUUCAGGUUCAUAAUUCCUGGACUUGGAGAUGCAGGUGAUCGCAGUUUUGGUACUUAGGUUCACUUUUAUUAUGGUUUAGUUGGAUUUUGGGUUAUUCCUUUGAAAUUUUGACAUGGUGUGCGAUUAGAUCAUUCAUUGAGAAAUUUUGCUUGUUGGGUCAAUCAUUGACUUGUACAAGAGGCGCCCAAAUUGUGAGGCAGAUUAUUGAUGUGGACAACAAAACAGUUGAAAUGUAUAUACUAUAUGAAUAUGCAUCAAUUCGAUAUGGGAAAGAUUGUCAUUUUGCAUUGUGAAUGAUCAUUUAUUAAUGCCAAUUUACGAACACAUGUUCGUGGAUCAAAGCGAUAUUUCUUGAAUGCUGAAUGAAAAUCUCAUUUACUUGCGAUUAUAGGUUAGGAUAGGGUGUUCUACGCUGCCAACCAUGAGAUUUGGAAGGUGAUCUGACUGCGGCUAUAGUAGCACUAAUUAUUACCAAUCAGGUGGUUUGGUUGAAUGAUCCAAGAUUUUCCCUAAUCUGUCUUUGGUCUUAAGAAAAAUUGGUCAGCCUGCGAAGGAGGGACGUGAGUUCAGAUGUACUGCUGCUCAAUAGGCAGUUAGUGCUUUGUCAGCGUCUUUAGAUCCCCAAUUCCGCCAAAACACUUUGGCAAGCAAUAAAAGUAGCACUGUGUUUUGUUCCAUCAUAACUCAGGACACAUCUAACUCCCCCUCUGGCAUCACUUUCACCAGCUUCUGCAUCUGCCUAUCGGGACUAUUGGGUAUUUGCCUCCACUGCUUUAGAUGAUUAAUGCGGUGUUUCUUUUCUGUGUCAUGCCUUUGCUACAAGCCUAAAUGCCUGUAGAGGCAUUUGUUUGUGUCUGCCACAUAAUUAGGAUCAGCUAGCGUUGGCACGACCACCGCGCCUUGAUAGAAAUAAUGCAGACGGUGAUUGCCUGUCACUUGCCCUGUGAUAUACUUGCGACCCACCUCGCAUGAACGAGGACAACUAUGUUGAAUUUUCGGAACAGCCUGAGCCAUGCUGGAACCGGAACUCAUGCUCUCUAACGUUUGAAUAAAAAAAACUAGAUCAAAUAUUGGUCUUUAAUGUUUCAAAUGUAUGAAAGGUUAAUAAGAAGAUAAUAGUUUUAACCCAUAAUUUCUUCACUGUCAUUACCAACUUCUAAUAAUCUUUUGUAUCAUUGGUGGAUCCUACACCAGCGGAUGAUAUAAAAUAGAGUUGUUUCUGUAACAUAUCAACAGAACCAAGUCUUCCAUGGGAUGCGGUCAUUAUGUAAGACAAAGUUAAGGGUCAAGAUCGAAAUGGAACAAUAUAUUUUUAGGGGCAUAACACAAAAAAAUUACGAUUCAGACAAAUAACAUAAGAGUCACUUUUAACAUUUUCAGAACAGCCUGUGCCGUGCUUGGACCGGAACUCAUGCUCUCUAACGUUUGAAUCAAAACAACUAGAUCAAACAUUGGUCUUUAAUGUUUCAAAUGUAUGAAAAUUUAAUAAGUAGAUAAUAGUUUUAACCUAUAAUUUCUUAACUGUCAUACUACCAACUUCUAAUAACUUUUUGUAUCAUUGGUAGAUCCUACACCAGCAGAUAACAUAUCGACAAGACCAAGUCUUCCAUGGGAUGAGGUCAUUAUGUAAGACAAAGCUAAGGGUCAAGAUCGAAAUGGAACAAUAUGUUUUUUUAGGGGUAUAACACAAGAUAACUAAGAGAUUCAGACAAAUUACAUAAGAGUCGCUCUAAAGCAAAUUAGCUCUCCAGCGACACUACGUGCAUGCUCGAUUGCUUUUCUGUACUUUACAAUUGUAAGUGAACCAUAUGCUUUAACGAGGUAUUAAUGCAUGGUUGGGCUCGAUCCCUCCCGUUGGCAGUUUUCGCAAUGUUUAUGGAUUUAGACCAGUCUGACGUACUUUCUGUCAUAUGUGUCUACACCUACUUUCAACGCUGCUAUUCACGAACCAGCCGUCUUGCCCCACGCCCCACCUAUGAAUUGUAACAUGGGGUCCCCCUGGAGUUUUUCAACCUUUGCAAUUUUGUCCUUGGGACUAUCUCUUGUGCAUUCAGGUUCUUGGGAUCCUCUCUUCUUUCUUUUUAAGCUCGAUAUUCUCUCACUCUACCAUAGUCAUGUUAAUAUAUGGAUUCUUUUCCCUUCCCACCUGUGAGAUGCUUAAAAUGCAACCAGUGUCCGCAUGAUGCAGCACGAUGCUCGAUUGAUUCAAACCUUUCUUGCUUUUGUUUACAUUGUGCAAAUAAACUGCCCUAUUCCAUCAAAUGUCACAGGGAAGCAUUUGUGCUUUUGUAAUUGCCAUCCGCAAAAAGCUGAUUUAUAUGCAGACUCGCAUAGUCAUCAUCAAUCCUCACGUCGUCACAACCCUCAUUUCACUUAAAGGGCUAUUGUUCUCGUCCACUUUAUUAUCUGUGAUUCUUCUUCAGGCAACAGUCAGUCAUGGGGUUCUUGAUGAUGAAUUGAGAUGUCCAUAUUUUGUCUGGAAAUGGUGAUGGAAGCUUUGAAAUGGAAAGAAAAUCUGCUCUCUUCAGUAGAAACAGAAGAAAACCGUUCUCUGCCUUUUCCUUCUCUCUUCCUUCAACAACAAUGGGCGCCAUUCAGGAUUUUGGGCGCCUGCGGUCCUCUCUCUCUCUCUCUCUCUCUGCGCCCUGGUAUUACAUCCGAAGCAAUAUUCCCCUUAUUUUUCAUAGCAUCGAUACUUGACGAGGAUGCUGGGUUCUUUUAGCUGUGACUCUGGAAGCAACCAAGGGAGUGGAUGAACAUGAACAUAUCCAUCUCACUGCAUUUGCUGCACUUGAACUAUUUUGUCUAUGCUUUUCUUAGGUAAUCGUUUAUCACCAGCGAUGUGAUAACACGAUGAUAUACGUACUUCCUGAUAAGACGAGCGUUUUUGUCUUAAAUUGAUGGGCAGCAACAUGUCAAUACAUCGCGUUCUAUGUGAUGUAGAUGUUUUUACUCAAUUCUUUCAGCCGACUACGUCAUAUCAAGAUUGGGAAAGGUGGUCAAACGCAGGGCAAUCCUUCUUUCUGAUGUUCAAGUACGACUCAGCUCAUCAUCCUCUCUACCGUAUCGAUGCAUAAACUGCUGAAUGCACGCGCGCAGACUUUUCAAUUUUAUAGGAUUUGUCUUUUAGCUAUUGCAACGAGAAAAUGUUGGAGUAAAAGGAUUAACCUUACAUUAAGUAAGAAACAAUAGAAAAUCAUCAUUUUGAUGAAAGGAUGCCAAGUUGUUUACCAAGAAAAUUAUCCAAAAAAUAUUUUAUGAAUUCAGUUUUAAAUGUUUUCAUAUUUUAUCAAUUGAAUCCAUCAAAUUAAUUUUAGUUAGAAAUAGAUAAUAUAAACGCAGAUCGUCUUACAUAGCACAGUCAGUAUUGACAUUGAUAAUUUUAAUAAUUUUUUAAUAAUUUUUGAAUUUUUUCUUUUUUCUUUUUCUUAUUUCUUAUUUACUUUUUGUUCUUUUUUUUUUAGUUGGCAGGGAGUUGCUGACCAAGGCCCAACAACCCCCGCCAACCAUUAGGUGAGGGUCCAUGAGCCCUCGCUAGUUGUAGGCGAGGGCAACAAACCCUUGCUGGCCGAUGGGCGAGGGCUCACAACCCUUUUCUAACUAGGUGCGAGGGCUAGUAGCCCUCACCUACUACUUGCUAAGGAAGCAGGCCCUUGCCCAACUAAGAGCAAGGGCUGGGAAUCUCGCCCAAAACUGACAAGGGCUCGUGUCACCUAAUGGCUAGCAAAAGUUGCUGGCCCUUAACAAUAAAAAUAAAAAUAAAAAAAGUAAAGGAGGAAAAAGUAAAAGAAAAGAAAAGAAUAAAAAAUAAAAUAAAUAUUAUUAAAAAUGAUCUAUUUAGCGAUUUUCAAUUAGUUGGAUAUACUCAAUUAAUAAAAAAUAUUUAGUUGACACAAUUGAAAAGAUGGCAAUUGAUAAAAUAUGAAAUUUUUUAGGAUUCAAUUGACACACUUAAAAGGUUGAAGAUUGAAUUAACAAAAGUGUAAUAGGAUUAAAAAAAAUUUGGACAAUUUUCUCAAUAUUUACCCCUUGACAUUGGUAUGUGCAUUCCUUACAUUAAUGAGAAAAAGAAAUUAUUAAUCCUACUCACAAAUAAUCUGAAAUGGAAAAUUUGGAAAUCCCUAAAUCCCAUGUUAACUGAUAUAAAAAGGAGCAAUUCUUGGAAAUUCUAUCAACGUUUUCUUUUUCCUAUGUCUUCAUUGCCUAAUCAGCAAGAUUGACAAAAGAUCUCCGUCUCUCUCUCAUACACACAUAAUCAUGCGAGGCGUAUUGACACAAAUCAUGGAUUUGCGAGCUCUCGUUGUUCUUGCGAUCACCAUGAUGAGAGAUGGAAAGGGCGAGAUCGGUCCACUCGGAUCUGUUGUAACAAGCAUCAAGGUAAGGUCACGAAGUCUCUUGCCUUCAGAAUCUCCUCUUCUGGUGAUGCCUGUGAUGUCCAUGGAUGUUUUCUUGAUUUCAAUUCUAGACUGAGAUUGGGGAUGUGCACGAUUAUCUGGACACCUACAACCAACCCAGCUUAAAUCAUCCUGCACUGAAAGAUCUCAGCAUUCAGAAAAGGAAGUUAGCAGGUUUGGAUUUUCAUUUUUCCUGUUGGCAUCCUAGUUGCCUCCAUUGGUUCACCAUGAUUAAUAAGCAGGUCAAGUUCAACCCGUGUAACCUAAAAUUCACCCGUCCGAUAAAUUGACCUUUUCUUAUUAAAUUAGCAUCUUUUUUUCUAUUUUUUUACUACUAAUGGUUAUUAUAUAAGUGAAAUUGACAUUUUAAUCACUGUUAUGCUUCGACAAUUUUUUCAAAAUUAUAAAAACUUUGAACACAUCAAAUUUGAGGUGGAAAAAUCUGUAAACACAUCAAGUUUAAAUUUCAUCUCAAAGAUGCUACUCAUGUGGUGGUGUGACUUUCAAUUUUGAGUGACCCUAUUUGACCAAAUAUUACGGGUUAUGCAAGUCAUGUUCAGGUCAUCUAUUUGACAAGCCGGUUAAUGUUUUGUUUGACAUGAUUAGUAAACAAGUCUUGCAUGGGUUUCCUAUUUAUUAAAAUAGUCUUAAGUUGAAACAACAUGAACAAGAUGUGUCAACAUAAUAUUUUUUUCAAUUAUAAAUAUUAUCAAAGCCUCGAAGAGGAAUUGUGAUUUAGUCGUUAGAGAUUCACAUUACUAUCGAAUUAUAAUCUUUCCCUCAUUUGACAUUAUAUCAUUAUGAUUUACUCAAUAUAAUGUAUAUGCUUUUCUUGAAACUUAUCGGUGAAGAUUUUGAGAUUGAAACUAUUUUGAGGGUUCAUUCAAUCAUAUAAAAUAAUAGCUAUAAACUUGCCUUUGUCCACUUUUACUUUCUCCAUGUCCAUGCAUCUGAUGAACAAAAGAAAACAAUCAGAUUUACUUCUGCCAUAGUUAAGUAAAAUAACGAUUUUUGGCAGAGACAACCUAGCAAGUAAUUAAGAGAGACGAUGGCCCAAGAUCUCGAGAUUGAAUUGCCUGAUGGAGUCCAAUGUGCUACGCUCGAAUCUGAAGGGUCAUUUCCAGUCUUAAGGGUGAACAGACAAAAUCCAUCUGCAGUUCCACCCAUUGUCGACAAAGGACAUCAUCCUUAUUCCUCAUUAUUUGUUGGAGGUCUCGAAGUAAGUUUUUUUUAUCACGCCCAUGAGACAUCUGAUCUUGAUACCUUCUUAGAGACGAUGUUUGUACGGAUUGGGAAAAUAAGGGCACGAGCGAAUGCCAAGGAUGCGACGCUUGUCAAGUAUUGUUAAGUUCAAGCAAGACUUCGGUUUGCAGUGCUGGAAUUCUCACCCUGAAGAGUCCUGAAAGACAGUACCUCGGAACAGCGGCGCAACUCAACAUCUACAAUCCGGCAGUUACUUUGCCUCACCAAUAUAGCUCAGCUGCCAUUUCUCUAGAAGCCAGAAAUCUGCCUAGUCCAAGUCAAAUACGAGUUGGGUGGAUAGUAAGAAUGUCUGAAAACAUCGCACGCUCGAUUCCCAGAAUUACCUUAACAUAACAACAUAUUUAUACACGUGAAUUGCUGCAUUCAAUUAACAACUUGGGACAUUCACCUUGACAGGUGAAUCAGGAUUUGUACUGCAGCAGUCAGACUCAUUGGUACUUGUCAUGGACGGUGAGCGGCCCUAACCUUGUGUAACCCUAAUAAUCAGAAGGUCGAAAGCAUAUGAAAAGAGAAAUUAAGGGCUAUCUACAAGUUGGUUUUGUGUUGUUCUUGCUUGCAUGUGGAUCGGAAUGAUAAUCACAAAUCCACAGGAUGCUACAACGUCGAUUGCCCAGGCUUUGUGUACCUUAAUCGUCAAGUGUCACUUGGAUCCUAUUUUAGUAACAUCUCGGUCUACGAUGGGAUUCAGAAUGUAGUGUGAUUUGCCAUUAGGCAGGUGAGCUCAACACAUCUCCAUUUACCACUACUCCACUUCUUUUCUGCUCAUCUACUGCUUUUACUGAUGUGAGGAGGCUAAUACAUUUGACGAAACCCUAGAAGCUAAACCCUAGUUUCACCUACUAAGUGAAGUUUCCUAGUACUGAAAGACGCUUGAAAUCCUUUGCUUAACCUUCAUGUUGAGGUCCUUGCCAGAGCAAUAUAUGAUUACUCCUCCAUUUUAACGUGUUCAUCUCAAGUUCUUACUUGUGGAUAUUUGGACGAAUGCAAUUUUUUCAGCACCCAAGAUGUGGUCUACCACGAUAAUGCAUACAUCGGACGAGCAGAGUCACGCUGUUAUCUAGAAGGCGAUAACUCACUGAAAUCAGAUCUGCUCUAUCAAUAUAGCUUUGCGUUUGGGGGACUUGGUGGAAAUCAAUGUUGAAACGAAUGGAACGUAAAUUUUGAGAUAUUGUCCUAAAUAAUACACAAUCAAGGUGAUAUAUUGUCCUCAAGGUACGAUUCAAUGAUCAUCCAUGCCGAAGGAUUGAGCAAUGACCGGGACUGAUAAAAAUUUGCAUAGUCAAAACAGUUCAUUAAACUUCUCAUUUAUUUUAUUUUUUGGGGUCGAGAUGUUAUUUCUUAACUUCAACUUAAUUCUUAGAGCGAAUUACAAAACCCGAGCAUAGCACCAACAACGAAUGAAUAUGAAAUUUUUGGUAUUCGCAAUUGGUUCUGCUUGCCAUACCAUUCAUUGCCGGAUUGAAUUUGAGACCAUCCUGAGAAGCAUAAUUGGUUGGAAGUAUAAAAACGAGAAAAACCAAAAUGAGGAAGAGGAAGAGGGGAAUGAAUGUUCCUACUUUCAGUAGAAAAAAACAAAUAAAAAAGGAAAAGCCGAAAAGGAUGGUAUUAGACCACACCGGCAUAGCCACCAUCGCAGCUGCAGCUGGCGCUUCCGCCGCUGGUGUUGCUUAGCCGGGGAGGUUUGGUGCUGAGACAGCAACACAUGAGGCCAAUCAGCAGCAUGAAUCCCCAUGCAGAGGCCAGAGCUUGUAACCAUUCCCUCAUCUCCUCCCUUUGCUCGUUUAAUUGAAGUGAUGCUGGUCUCGAGCCAAACUGUUUCUAGCUCGCAGCUUUUAUGUGCGCGUCUCUUUCGUGGAUGGGAUUUCAGGUCGCACGGCUCUUUGCUGCUAAUGGAACGAUGGCAUCUUUUCUUUUGAACAAGAGAAUAAUCGCAUCUCGAAAAUAGAGAGAGGUGAGCACAAGAUUUUCAAAGAGUCUGAUGCCGAUAUUGAAUGGACCUAUCCUGUACCAUUAAUAGCAUGCGUAGAGUGGCAAAAGCUUGCUACCAACUUCAUUAGACAGGCCCAGGUCGAAUUAAUUGAAAAGCGAAAAGAGAACACCACCAAAAACAAGAGGCGAGAAAAUGGAGCACGUAUGUGGGAAUUUGUGGAAAGGGAUUGAAGGUGGACCCUUCCACACAUGGAAUUUGAAAGCUGAAAGAAUGAGGAAUCGAAAAAAAGGCAUUGAAUGAUAGAGCAACCAAAAGGAAGAAACCCACGUUGUAAAGAAAGCGGGGCAAAAGGCAAAAGGCAAAAGAGUACUUUCAAUUCAUCAGGAAGAGCCACACGUACAGCCAACAGAUCCUCUCUGCUUUCUUUUCCUUUUCCAUUUGCGUACAAAAGUUCCUCUUGCAUAUGCAUCAGACAUGUAUCAUUUCUGAAUCUCCGUUGGUUCGAGAAGAGCUUCAAUUAUUGUGAUCGCGAACACCAUGGUGUUGCGCCACCAAAUUGCAAUUACACCCAGUUGACUGUUAAGAGUCAGUAUGUAAAUGAUGAAAAAAGCUUCUCCAAGAUUGUGAACUCAACCAUCACAUGAGAAGCUAAUUGCUGCCACAAUGCAUCAAUGCAUGCAUUCAAGAAUAGACAUAUGCAUGAGCAAACAUGCACAGUCCCUGACGACAUCUUAAUCAGUAUUUAUUUUGGUUGGAUACAGUAUGCUGCAAAAAGAGUCAAUAGCCGAAGAUGUGUAUUAUCCUGCUAGGUCCAAACAUGCACACAGCCAUCUGAGAUAAGCCAAGGGAGGAGAGAUCAUCCAUGCCAUCCAUGCCAUCCAUGCUAUGAUAACUAAAUCAGAGUAAAACUGAGACUUGGAUAUACACGAGUCACUCGCUCCAGACACCAUCCAAUUGAUCAGCAGGAAAAUAACUUGGAUGCAACCGCAUUUUCCGCCUAACAUCAUAAGCUGAACAGAAGAACCAUAUUCAACAUUUCAUUUCUUCUUUUAGUGGGAGGAAUCACAAAUAAGCAACCACCUCAAGCAUAGUUCAUGAACCAGGUUUCCAUUACCAUAUCAAUCUGAAAGAACUCUAACAAUGAAUUGCACUCGUUAUUGUUUUUCUGAUAAUAAUGCCAGAGGACUAGUUUUCUUUACAGGACAAAGUUCUUACAAUUUACAUUCCUUCCAUUAUCAGCUAGAGUCAACAGCCUUCACCUGACAAGUCCAGACUCCAAUAACCUGAAGCUGUUAAGAGCAGUAGGUGCCGUCUCAGCAGUUCACCAGUUUGGAGUAAAACCCUAUAACCGGACUGGCUUGUUGGAAGCUGUUAAAAAACGAAAUAAAGCAAUAUUGAUCAACUUUAGCAACUCAAAUUCGAGCUAAAUAUAAAAAUAACUUAAAAUGAGAAGGCGAGCAGCUUAUAUCCAUGGAUGCCUUAAAAAACAUAGAAGAAUGUAAGCUACAUAGCUGUUGAAUCACAACUGCAUAAGACUGCAUCACAACUGCAUAAGACUGCAAAAGGGUCGUGAUGGAGUAAUUAGAGACAUACAUACAGAAAAAUCAGCAACCCAUUUCCCAGUUACUCUGCUUCAUUAAAGGUCGCUGUAAUUGCGCCAAACUGCACGAAACUCUUCACGAAAUGUAUUUAGGCGUGCUUUCAGGUUUGGUGUUCUGAAACUUGCGUGAAGGACAGUAGCUGGAAAAAAAAGGGAAUGUGACAAAAGCAAAUUAGAAUAAAAAUUAGAAGAUGCUAGAGGCCAAAUCUGUGCUAGAAAGAGAAAGAGAGAGAAAGAGAGCGAGAGGGACGCACCAAGGAGUCCAAUGGCAAAAGCCCAGAGGAGAGUCAAGAUUCCACAGGAAACAUACCAAAGCACAAGACUCGCUGAGGAGAAUAAGAAGUGGAAGGGAUCCAAAAAAAAAGGAAAAAGUUAAAUGCAGUCACCAUAUACACAAAAUCCAAAAAACAAAGAUAUAAUUGAUCACUAAAAAUGCUGAUCAUAGGUUAGCACCAACCAGAGGCAAAUAUCGAGACAAACACCCGGCGAGGCUGGCCACAGAUAUGGAUUGAUCUUUUUGCUGAUGGACGUCCACGAAUAACAGGUCUGCAGAAGAAUGUAUAGAACUAAGUACAGCUCUGAAAUAUUUUUUUUGUAGGUACAAUCAGUAAGCACUUCACUUACAUAUGAGAGGGCCUCAAUUUGGCAGCAAAAUGUGGUGAAAACUGCCUCACAGUCCUUGUUAUCUUCUCACUGAAAGUGCCUGCAAAGCUGUACUAGAAUCCUUAGCAUCUAGAUAAUGCUGAAAGACAUAUACCGAGUACAAGAAAACAAACAAACCAAGUAUGACACUUUACUGACCAUCAAAGAAACUACUGUAAAGUAUCCUUCUAUUUUUCCAGAGGUCAUCAAAUAACUCCCAUCAUAAGGCCCUCAGCCCCAGUCCAAAUAUAAACAUUUGGAUAAAAUACGGAGAUACAGGAAUUACACAGAGCACCUUCAAUUUAUCAAUGAAUUAAAUAUGCAGACAAUUAGAAUCAAGUUGAGCACACCAAAAGUAGAGGACAACCACCUUGAAAUAGAUUUUGAGCAACAAGAGAGAAAAUUAAAUUAGUGGUGCUCUGUUAACUAUAUAUUUAUAUCCUUUCUAAUUUCAAUUGAGGGACAUAAUGGCAGAGUUGCAGCCUGCAAAAUACUGUAGCUGCCAUUACAGGUACCACUAGCCAU
rnacentral:lncRNA from 1 species